CAUCGAGCCGAAAGCACGUCAAGGGAUGAUGAUAAGGAACACUGUUCAGGUUUCUCUACAUUAGAAUGAUUUUCAACAUGGCCUGUGUAGGAAAUUGAGACAUCGGUCUGUGAAAAUGCUACCAGUGUCUGACGCACACCUCCGCUUCAAAAAUCGUGGAGCAAACUCUCUCUUCCAUCGUCCGUCCUAAAAGGUGCUGUGACCUACAAAAGGACAGCUUCAACCACGAAGUCAGCCGCCUCUACGAGAGCAUCAGUUCGUGGGGGUAGGAACCGAAAACCGCUAAAAACCCAUUUUUUACGAUGAUUUGAUAUCGCGACGACAUCUUCCGUCCCUCAUUGAUACAUCUUCAUGGCUGGACCACGCACAGAAUGUUGACUUUCCCUGACCCCCGCAGACCGGCGAAUCAGAGCGAGUUCUCCUCAUGACGUCAUUGGUGACGUGGCAUCGUACCUUCUCCUCCUCCUAAUACCCAGAGUGGAAGAAAAGUCGGCAACAGUGUACUUCUCAUUAACGAAGAGUCGAGAGAUACUCGUGUGCUUGAGUCAUCGCAUUGCAGCCCGUCUGAUUAACAACUGUCACAAAUGGAGCUGUCACCAAGGUUUGGUGAUUAUCUCGCGAGAGUAAAAACAGAAAGCGAUGUUGUUGCAUUCCUACCGGAACAAGGCCAGCACCAGUGCAGCAGGGAAUGUGCGU